rnacentral:rRNA from 1 species
CCUACGGGAGGCAGCAGUGAGGAAUAUUGGUCAAUGGGCGCGAGCCUGAACCAGCCAAGUCGCGUGAGGGAGGACGGCCCUACGGGUUGUAAACCUCUUUUGCCGGGGAGCAACUGGGGCCACGUGUGGGCUUACUGAGAGUACCCGGAGAAAAAGCAUCGGCUAACUCCGUGCCAGCAGCCGCGGUAAUACGGAGGAUGCGAGCGUUAUCCGGAUUUAUUGGGUUUAAAGGGUGCGUAGGCGGAUGUUUAAGUCAGGGGUAAAAUUUAGGGGCUCAACCCCUUCCCGCCAUUGAAACUGGUGUUCUUGAGUGGACGAGAAGUAUGCGGAAUGCGUGGUGUAGCGGUGAAAUGCAUAGAUAUCACGCAGAACCCCGAUUGCGAAUGCAGCAUGCCGACUCCCGACUGACGCUGAAGCACGAAAGCGUGGGGAUCGAACAGGAUUAGAUACCCUUGUAGUA